rnacentral:rRNA from 1 species
GCAGUAUUUUGACUGUGCAAAGGUAGCAUAAUCAUUAGUCUUUUAAAAAAAGGCUGGUAUGAAUGAUUGAACGAAAUAUUAACUGUUUCAUUAAAAUUUUAUUUAGAAUUUUAUUUUUUAAUUAAAAAGUUAAAAUAAAUUUAAAAGACGAGAAGACCCUAUAAAUCUUUAUAUUUAAUUAAUUUUAAUUAAAAAGUAUAUUAUUAUUAUAAUUAUUUUAAAUAUUUUAUUGGGGUGAUAUUAAAAUUUAAUAAACUUUUAUUUUUUAUAUACAUUAAUAAAUGAAUAAUUGAUCCAUUAAUAAUGAUUAAAAAUUUAAGUUACUUUAGGGAUAACAGCGUAAUUUUUUUGGAGAGUUCAUAUCGAUAAAAAAGAUUGCGACCUCGAUGUUGGAUUAAGAGAUAAAAUUGGGUGUAGUAGUUCAAUUUUUAAGUCUGUUCGACUUUUAUAUUCUUACAUGAUCUGAGUUCAAACCGGCGUAAGCCAGGUUGGUUUCUAUCUUUAAUAAAAUUAAAUAUUUUAGUACGAAAGGACCAAAUAUUUAAAUUAUAAAAUUUUUUAUUAAGAAAAUUAUUAAUA